AGCCCAGCUGAUUUGUAGGGGUCCAGACUGUCUAGCCCAGCUGAUUUGUAGAGGUCCAGACUGUCUAGCCCAGCUGAUUUGUAGAGGUCCAGACUGUCUAGCCCAGCUGAUUUGUAGAGGUCCAGACUGUCUAGCCCAGCUGAUUUGUAGAGGUCCAGACUGUCUAGCCCAGCUGAUUUGUAGAGGUCCAGACUGUCUAGCCCAGCUGAUUUGUAGAGGUCCAGACUGUCUAGCCCAGCUGAUUUGUAGAGGUCCAGACUGUCUAGCCCAGCUGAUUUGUAGAGGUCCAGACUGUCUAGCCCAGCUGAUUUGUAGGGGUCCAG